GAGCAGGCAUGGACUUCCCUGAGCAUUCCUCUGCUGCUACACACAAGGCUGCUUUUGUCUCUACUCCAUAUCUGUGGCCUCUUAUUCCACUGGCAACGUAGGCUGAAUGCUGUUUAUUAGAUGUUGAAGCCUUUUAGUCACUUGUUCCUGACUGGAUCACACGGGAGAUGAUGCGAUUAGAGCCCAGAUCUACUGUACAUAAUGGGCCACCCAGCUGUAGUAAGUAGCAUUACAUAGCAUUCAGGACGUCCUUUUAUCUGUAUGUCAUAUUGUCUGCAUGAACAGGUUGUUCAAACCACUGCAGGUUAGUUUGAGACAUUUUUGCUCUAUCACAGUAAAUCAUUCAGCUGUGGCUGUAAGAGGUAAAUUGUCUCUACAGGGACACACGGGAAGAAAGGCGUCAUUAUACGAGGAGACCCCUGGG